rnacentral:rRNA from 1 species
AUUGAACGCUGGCGGCAUGCCUUACACAUGCAAGUCGAACGGUAACAGGUCUUCGGAUGCUGACGAGUGGCGAACGGGUGAGUAAUACAUCGGAACGGGCCCGAUCGUGGGGGAUAACGAAGCGAAAGCUUUGCUAAUACCGCAUAAGAUCUACGGAUGAAAGCAGGGGACCGCAAGGCCUUGCGCGAACGGAACGGCCGAUGGCAGAUUAGGUAGUUGGUGGGAUAAAAGCUUACCAAGCCGACCAUCUGUAGCUGGUCUGAGAGGACGACCAGCCACACUGGGACUGAGACACGGCCCAGACUCCUACGGGAGGCAGCAGUGGGGAAUUUUGGACAAUGGGCGAAAGCCUGAUCCAGCCAUGCCGCGUGCAGGAUGAAGGCCUUCGGGUUGUAAACUGCUUUUGUACGGAACGAAAAGACUCUUUCUAAUAAAGAGGGUCCAUGACGGUACCGUAAGAAUAAGCACCGGCUAACUACGUGCCAGCAGCCGCCGUAA